UACGGAGGGUGCAAGCGUUAUCCGGAAUCACUGGGCUUAAAGGGUGCGUAGGCGGUCUGAUAAGUCAGUCGUGAAAUCGCUGGGCUCAACCCAUGCAACUGCGAUUGAUACUGUGAGACUUGAAUCAGGUUGAGGUAGGCGGAAUGUGGCAUGUAGCGGUGAAAUGCUUAGAUAUGCCAUAGAACACCGAUUGCGAAGGCAGCUUGCUGGGCCUGAAUUGACGCUGAGGCACGAAAGCGUGGGGAGCAAACAGG
rnacentral:rRNA from 1 species